rnacentral:lncRNA from 1 species
GUUGGAACCUCAUACAGCAGCUUCAGAGAAUCUCCAGCACAGAAAGUGAGAAAUACACCAAACAGCUGUAAGGUACAGCUGUGGGAGCCCUCGGGUAGAAGUUGGGCUCUGAAGAUGUGAGAUGAAGACAAGAAGCAUCUGACACGGAUCGAGGAUGGAGCCUCAGUGGAACAAAUGGCGCUGUAACAAGCCUGCUAAGGAAGUGAGAGAAGGCAUGACUCAAUAGAAGAAGACAAGAACUCCUUCACAUGCAGCAUUUCCCUCAUGGAAAUGACAAUUUAGUAGAGAACAUGAGUCAUAUACAAAUGCAAAUGUAACAAAUAUGAGAAGUGACAGAAUAAACAGUAAAUAAGUGGUAA